UACGGAGGGUGCAAGCGUUACUCGGAAUUACUGGGCGUAAAGCGCACGCAGGCGGUUUGUUAAGUUAGAUGUGAAAUCCCCGGGCUUAACCUGGGAACUGCAUUUAAGACUGGCAGGCUAGAGUCUUGUAGAGGGGGGUAGAAUUCCAUGUGUAGCGGUGAAAUGCGUAGAGAUGUGGAGGAAUACCGGUGGCGAAGGCGGCCCCCUGGACAAAGACUGACGCUCAGGUGCGAAAGCGUGGGGAGCGAACAGG
rnacentral:rRNA from 1 species